rnacentral:rRNA from 1 species
CGUGAGCGAUGAAGCCCUUCGGGGUGUAAAGCUCUUUCCGGCAGGGACGAUAAUGACGGUACCUGAAGAAGAAGCUGCGGCUAACUACGUGC